UAAAUAGCUCAGUUGGUAGAGCAGCGCAUUCGUAAUGCGAAGGUCGUCGGUUCGACUCCGGCUUUGGG
rnacentral:tRNA from 1 species